GAUGAACGCUGGCGGCGUGCCUAAUACAUGCAAGUCGAGCGAACAGACGAGGAGCUUGCUCCUCUGACGUUAGCGGCGGACGGGUGAGUAACACGUGGAUAACCUACCUAUAAGACUGGGAUAACUUCGGGAAACCGGAGCUAAUACCGGAUAAUAUAUUGAACCGCAUGGUUCAAUAGUGAAGGAUGGUUUUGCUGUCACUUAUAGAUGGAUCCGCGCCGCAUUAGCUAGUUGGUAAGGUAACGGCUUACCAAGGCAACGAUGCGUAGCCGACCUGAGAGGGUGAUCGGCCACACUGGAACUGAGACACGGUCCAGACUCCUACGGGAGGCAGCAGUAGGGAAUCUUCCGCAAUGGGCGAAAGCUUGACGGAGCAACGCCGCGUGAGUGAUGAAGGUCUUCGGAUCGUAAAACUCUGUUAUUAGGGAAGAACAAAUGUGUAAGUAACUAUGCACGUCUUGACGGUACCUAAUCAGAAAGCCACGGCUAACUACGUG
rnacentral:rRNA from 1 species